ACGGCUCAGUAACRCGUAGUCAAUCUGCCCUAUGGACGUGGAUAACCUCGGGAAACUGAGAAUAAUCCGCGAUAGAUCAUAAUGCCUGGAACGGUUUAUGGUCCAAAUGAUUCGUCGCCAUAGGAUGGGACUGCGGCCUAUCAGCUUGUUGGUGAGGUAAUGGCCCACCAAGGCUAUUACAGGUACGGGCUCUGAGAGGAGAAGCCCGGAGAUGGGUACUGAGACACGGACCCAGGCCCUAUGGGGCGCAGCAGGCGAGAAACCUUUGCAAUGUGCGCAAGCACGACAAGGUUAAUCCGAGUGUUUCCUGCUAAAGGAAUCUUUUGUUAGUUCUAAAACCACUGAUGAAUAAGGGGUGGGCAAGUUCUGGUGUCAGCCGCCGCGGUAAAACCAGCACCUCAAGUGGUCAGGAGGAUUAUUGGGCCUAAAGCAUCCGUAGCCGGUUCUGUAAGUUUCCGGUUAAAUCCACUAGCUCAACUAAUGGGCUGCCGGAAAUACUGCAGAACUAGGGAGUGGGAGAGGUAGACGGUACUCGGGAGGAAGGGGUAAAAUCCUUUGAUCUCUUGAUGACCACCUGUGGCGAAGGCGGUCUACCAGAACACGUUCGACGGUGAGGGAUGAAAGCUGGGGGAGCAAACCGGAUUAGAUACCCGGGUAGUCCCAGCUGUAAACGAUGCAGACUCGGUGAUGCACUGGCUUUUGGCCAGUGCAGUGCCGCAGGGAAGCCGUUAAGUUUGCCGCCUGGGAAGUACGUACGCAAGUAUGAAACUUAAAGGAAUUGGCGGGGGAGCAC
rnacentral:rRNA from 1 species